GACGAACGCUGGCGGCGUGCCUAAUACAUGCAAGUAGAACGCUGACGCGAGGAGCUUGCUCUUCUUGGAUGAGUGGCGAACGGGUGAGUAACGCGUAGGUAACCUUCCUUGUUUCGGGGGAGAACUAUUGGAAACGAUAGCUAAUACCGCAUAACAAUGGCUGACACUUGUCACUUAUUAUAAUCGGGCAAUUGCUCCACUACAGGAUGGACCUGAGUUUUAUUAGGUAGUAGGUGAGGUAACGGCUCAACUAGGCGGCGGUACCUAGCCGGCCUGGGAGGGUGGACCGCCAACAUGGGAAUGAGAAAAGGGCCAAGACCCCUCGGGAGGGAGCAGUAGGGGAUCUUCGGCAAUGGGGGCAACCCUGAACGAACAACGCCGGGGGGGGGAAGAAGGUUUUCGGAUUGUAAAGCUCUGUUGUAAGUGAAGAAAGAGCAGGAGAGUGGAAAGUUGACGUUGUGACGGUAGCUUAAGAGAAAGGGACGGCUAACUACGUG
rnacentral:rRNA from 1 species